rnacentral:rRNA from 1 species
AACAAACGCUGGCGGCGUGCCUAAUACAUGCAAGUCGAACGGGGAAAGCUUUCGGGUGAGUACUAGUGGCGCACGGGUGAGGAACGCGUGGAUAAUCUGCCUUAGAGUGGGGGAUAACUAGUCGAAAGAUUAGCUAAUACCGCAUAAGACCACGAGAGCUGCGGCUUUUGAGGUCAAAGGUUUUUCGCUCUAAGAUGAGUCCGCGUAAGAUUAGCUAGUUGGUGAGGUAACGGCUCACCAAGGCGACGAUCUUUAACUGGUCUGAGAGGAUGAUCAGUCACACUGGAACUGAGACACGGUCCAGACUCCUACGGGAGGCAGCAGUAGGGAAUAUUGUACAAUGGAGGAAACUCUGAUGCAGCGACGCCGCGUGAGUGAUGAAGGCCUUCGGGUCGUAAAGCUCUGUCGCAGGGGAAUAACACAAUGAAGGUACCCUGUAAGAAAGGAUCGGCUAACUUCGUG